GUACUGAUGUGUGCAUCCAUGUAUGCCCAUGGGUGCUGAUGUGUGCGUGCACGUGUCUCACGGGUGCUGGUGCAUGUGUGUACAUCUGCCUGUGGGUCCUGAUGAAUGCGUUGAGUGCAGGUGUGUGCGCCCACGGUGCUGAUGUGUGUGCACGUAUGUCCGUGGGUCCUGAGUGCGUGAGUGCCGGUGUGUGCGCCCACGGUGCUGAUGUGUGUGUGCACGUAUGUCCGUGGGUCCUGAGUGCGUGAGUGCCGGUGUGUGCGCCCACGGUGCUGACGUGUGUGUGCACAUGUCCGUGGGUGUUGUUGAGUGCGUGAGUGCAGGUGUGUGCGCCCACGGUGCUGAUGUGUGUGUGCACGUAUGUCCGUGGGUCCUGAGUGCGUGAGUGCCGGUGUGUG
rnacentral:lncRNA from 1 species